AUUGAACGCUGGCGGCAGGCCUAACACAUGCAAGUCGAGCGAAUGAAGGGAGCUUGCUCCUGGAUUCAGCGGCGGACGGGUGAGUAAUGCCUAGGAAUCUGCCUGGUAGUGGGGGAUAACGUCCGGAAACGGGCGCUAAUACCGCAUACGUCCUGAGGGAGAAAGUGGGGGAUCUUCGGACCUCACGCUAUCAGGUGAGCCUAGGUCGGAUUAGCUAGUUGGUGGGGUAAAGGCCUACCAAGGCGACGAUCCGUAACUGGUCUGAGAGGAUGAUCAGUCACACUGGAACUGAGACACGGUCCAGACUCCUACGGGAGGCAGCAGUGGGGAAUAUUGGACAAUGGGCGAAAGCCUGAUCCAGCCAUGCCGCGUGUGUGAAGAAGGUCUUCGGAUUGUAAAGCACUUUAAGUUGGGAGGAAGGGCAGUAAGUUAAUACCUUGCUGUUUUGACGUUACCAACAGAAUAAGCACCGGCUAACUUCGUG
rnacentral:rRNA from 1 species